rnacentral:misc_RNA from 1 species
GUGCAUUCUGGGGUCAUUAUGGCUACUGGCGGCUUGCCUGGCAAUUGAGCUUGGUGGGUGGCUGUUAGUCAGGUGGUUUUGGGGAUGUCUACCGUAAAGGUGCAUGAGUGGUGUUUGGUUUGUUACGGGUGGUUGGCUCUUUGCUUGCGCAACAACUUCCACCUGGCAUACCUCUUCAGUCUUGUGUCAAUGCUAGUAUUGCAUUGAAUGCACGGUGGUUUCUUGUGUUGCAUGCCUAAUUGAUGGUAUCUUUUGAUGAAUUGGUAUCCUUUUCGUCUUGUGUCGCACAUGCGAUGUGAGAUGAACCUUGAAGCAGCCUUUGUGAUUCACUCUUUCGGUGCAUACGCAUUGAUUUGGUGGCCCAUUGAGUGUUGCUUGGUCUCUUGGAUAUGGAACCUGGUGUGGGCAUGGAAUUUACGAGUUCCUUGUUUGCCCUAGUUUAGCUUUUCUAAUACGAUUGUCUGUCAUGUCUUGAUGUGAUAGGCUAUAUCGAAUAUGAAUGCUACCUGGUUGAUCCUGCCAGUAGUCAUAUGCUUGUCUCAAAGAUUAAGCCAU